rnacentral:rRNA from 1 species
CCCUUAGAUGUUCUGGGCCGCACGCGCGCUACACUGACGAUGGCAACGAGUUUUUCCUUCGCCGAGAGGUGUGGGUAAUCUUUUGAAACAUCGUCGUGCUGGGGAUAGAUCAUUGCAAUUUUUGAUCUUGAACGAGGAAUUCCUAGUAAGCGCGAGUCAUCAGCUCGCGUUGAUUACGUCCCUGCCCUUUGUACACACCGCCCGUCGCUACUACCGAUUGAAUGGUUUAGUGAGGACUCCUGAUUGGCGCCGCCGCCCCGGCAACGGAGCAGCGGACUGCCGAAAAGUUGUUCAAACUUGAUCAUUUAGAGGAAGUAAAAGUCGUAACA